GAUGAACGCUGGCGGCGUGCUUAACACAUGCAAGUCGAACGGUGAAGGCGGAGCUUGCUCUGCUGGAUCAGUGGCGAACGGGUGAGUAACACGUGAGCAAUCUGCCCCUGACUCUGGGAUAAGCGCUGGAAACGGCGUCUAAUACUGGAUACGAGCUGCGAAGGCAUCUUCAGCAGCUGGAAAUAAUUUCGGUCAGGGAUGAGCUCGCGGCCUAUCAGCUUGUUGGUUAGGUAAUGGCUCACCAAGGCGUCGACGGGUAGCCGGCCUGAGAGGGUGACCGGCCACAAUGGGACUGAGACACGGACCAGACUCCUACGGGAGGCAGCAGUGGGGAAUAUUGCACAAUGGGCGAAAGCCUGAUGCAGCAACGCCGCGUGAGGGACGACGGCCUUCGGGUUGUAAACCUCUUUUAGCAGGGAAGAAGCGAAAGUGACGGUACCUGAAGAAAAAGCGCCGGCUAACUACGUG
rnacentral:rRNA from 1 species